GGAUUGUAGUCUGCAACUCGACUACAUGAAGCUGGAAUCGCUAGUAAUCGCGAAUCAGAAUGUCGCGGUGAAUACGUUCCCGGGUCUUGUACACACCGCCCGUCACACCAUGGGAGUCGGAUAUGCCCGAAGUCAGUGACCCAACCUUUUGGAGGGAGCUGCCGAAGGUGGAGCCGAUAACUGGGGUGAAGUCGUAACAAGGUACC
rnacentral:rRNA from 1 species